UACGUAGGGACCAAGCGUUGUUCGGAUUUACUGGGCGUCAAGCGCGCGCAGGCGGCCUUUUAAGUCUGAUGUGAAAGCCCACGGCUCAACCGUGGAAGGUCAUUGGAAACUGAAAGGCUUGAGUACAGAAGAGGAAAGCGGAAUUCCACGUGUAGCGGUGAAAUGCGUAGAGAUGUGGAGGAACACCAGUGGCGAAGGCGGCUAUCUGGACCGGUACUGACGCUGAGGCGCGAAAGCGUGGGGAGCAAACAGG
rnacentral:rRNA from 1 species